rnacentral:misc_RNA from 1 species
UCGUAACAAGGUCUCCGUUGGUGAACCAGCGGAGGGAUCAUUACCGAGUUAUACAACUCCCAAACCCACUGUGAACCUUACCUCAGUUGCCUCGGCGGGAACGCCCCGGCCGCCUGCCCCCGCGCCGGCGCCGGACCCAGGCGCCCGCCGCAGGGACCCCAAACUCUCUUGCAUUACGCCCAGCGGGCGGAAUUUCUUCUCUGAGUUGCACAAGCAAAAACAAAUGAAUCAAAACUUUCAACAACGGAUCUCUUGGUUCUGGCAUCGAUGAAGAACGCAGCGAAAUGCGAUAAGUAAUGUGAAUUGCAGAAUUCAGUGAAUCAUCGAAUCUUUGAACGCACAUUGCGCCCGCCAGCAUUCUGGCGGGCAUGCCUGUUCGAGCGUCAUUUCAACCCUCGAGCCCCCCCCGGGGGCCUCGGUGUUGGGGGACGGCACACCAGCCGCCCCCGAAAUGCAGUGGCGACCCCGCCGCAGCCUCCCCUGCGUAGUAGCACACACCUCGCACCGGAGCGCGGAGGCGGUCACGCCGUAAAACGCCCAACUUUCUUAGAGUUGACCUCGGAUCAGGUAGGAAUACCCGCUGAACUUAAGCAUAUCA